UACAGAGGGUGCGAGCGUUGUCCGGAAUCACUGGGCGUAAAGGGCGCGUAGGCGGUCUCCUAAGCGUGUGGUGAAAGCCCGGGGCUCAACUCCGGGUCGGCCGUGCGAACUGGGGGACUGGAGCUUGUCAGAGGCAGGCGGAAUUCCGGGUGUGAGCGGUGGAAUGCGUAGAGAUCCGGAAGAACACCGGUGGCGAAGGCGGCCUGCUGGGACAGUGCUGACGCUGAGGCGCGACAGCGUGGGGAGCAAACAGG
rnacentral:rRNA from 1 species